rnacentral:rRNA from 1 species
AUGUAUGAAGACAGAAGGAGUGAUAGGAAGAAGGGUAACCUGGAGAGUUCAUUUACUAUUUGCCAUUUGACAGAAGAGAUUGCCUUUGCUGCUGCUUUCACCCUACCUGGAGGAUACAACAAUGGUGCUGGAAGCGAGGGACUUCCCGUCAUGGCUCGCAAGGUUGCAUUUCAGGCAUUCCUGAUCUCUGAUACCUUAGCGAUGUGCUCUUCAUUUGCUGCCGCCUUCAUAUGCAUCAUGGCAAGGUGGGAGGAUUACGAGUUACUAUAGAUCCUUUACUAAGAAGCUCAUGUGGUUUGCAUAUGUGGCAAUUACCACAACCUUUUCAACUGGUUUAUAUACGGUGUUGGCCCCACAUCUCCACUGGUUGGCCAUUGCAAUUUGCAUUACUGUAGCUUUGUUGCCCAUUUUGACGAAGCUACUGGGCGAAUGGCCUGUCUUGAGGCUUAG